rnacentral:lncRNA from 1 species
UUAGAAUAUGUUACAAUGCAAUAAAUUGGAUUUAUUACAAGUGCUAGAGAUGCAUGAAUAAUGUUUAGAAGUGUGGAGAAAGACUUGUUGAAAUUGGGUCCGAAAUGGGCUGAGAACUCAGAAACAUGCGUUGAACCACUAAAUGACUUAUCUAGUGUUCUUUUGGGUUAGAAUAUGUUAGAAUACAAUAAAUUUGAUUGAUUACAAGUGUUAGAGAUGCAUGAAGA